ACAGCUCAGUGUAUAGUGACUGAUACCAGGUCAGUACACCACACAGCUCAGUGUAUAGUGACUGAUACCAGGUCAGUACACGACACAGCUCAGUGUAUAGUGACUGAUACCAGGUCAGUACACGACACAGCUCAGUGUAUAGUGACUGAUACCAGGGCAGUACACGACACAGCUCAGUGUAUAGUGACUGAUACCAGGGCAGUACACGACACAGCUCAGUGUAUAGUGACUGAUACCAGGUCAGUACACGACACAGCUCAGUGUAUAGUGACUGAUACCAGGUCAGUACACGACACAGCUCAGUGUAUAGUGACUGAUACCAGGUCACUACACGACACAGCUCAGUGUAUAGUGACUGAUACCAGGUCAGUACACGACACAGCUCAGUGUAUAGUGACUGAUACCAGGUCACUACACAGCUCAGUGUAUAGUGACUGAUACCAGGUCACUACACAGCUCAGUGUAUAUUGACUGUAGGGCAGGAUGAGACCAGGUCACUACACAGCUCAGUGUAUAUUGACUGUAGGGCAGGAUGAGACCAGGUCACUACACAGCUCAGUGUAUAUUGACUGUAGGGCAGGAUGAGACCAGGUCACUACACAGCUCAGUGUAUAUUGACUGUAGGGCAGGAUGAGACCAGGUCACUACACAGCUCAGUGUAUAUUGACUGUAGGGCAGGAUGAGACCAGGUCACUACACAGCUCAGUGUAUAUUGACUGUAGGGCAGGAUGAGACCAGGUCACUACACAGCUCAGUGUAUAUUGACUGUAGGGCAGGAUGAGACCAGGUCACUACACAGCUCAGUGUAUAUUGACUGUAGGGCAGGAUGAGACCAGGUCACUACACAGCUCAGUGUAUAUUGACUGUAGGGCAGGAUGAGACCAGGUCACUACACAGCUCAGUGUAUAUUGACUGUAGGGCAGGAUGAGACCAGGUCACUACACAGCUCAGUGUAUAUUGACUGUAGGGCAGGAUGAGACCAGGUCACUACACAGCUCAGUGUAUAUUGACUGUAGGGCAGGAUGAGACCAGGUCACUAUACAAUAUAAACCCUGCUUGGUUGAAUACAGAAGAUUUGGAGGAACAAGUACUUUUUUAUUUAAAAGAAUUGCUCUGCCCUCCCUGACCUUUCCCCCACUGACUCCUGUGUGACCUUUGCCUCCUGCGUGA